rnacentral:rRNA from 1 species
GGUGAACGCUGGCGGCGUGCUUAAGACAUGCAAGUCGAACGCAGUCUUCGGACUGAGUGGCGCACGGGUGAGUAACACGUAACUGACCUACCCCCAAGUCGCGAAUAACCAGCCGAAAGGAUGGCUAAUACGUGAUGUGAUGAUCCGCUGUGGCGGAUCAUUAAAGCCUUGAUCGCUUGGGGAUGGGGUUGCGUUCCAUCAGCUAGUUGGUAAGGUAAAGGCUUACCAAGGCAACGACGGAUAGCCGGCCUGAGAGGGUGGCCGGCCACAGGGGCACUGAGACACGGGUCCCACUCCUACGGGAGGCAGCAGUUAGGUAUCUUCCACAAUGGGCGCAAGCCUGAUGGAGCGACGCCGCGUGAGGGAUGAAGGUUCUCGGAUCGUAAACCUCUGAACCAACGACGAAAGACCCGACAAGGGAGAUGACGGUAGUUGGGUAAUAGCACCGGCUAACUCCGUGCCAGCAGCCGCAGUAACAC